rnacentral:pre_miRNA from 1 species
UCUUAUGGGUAAGCAAAGAAAGUAGCUUCUUGAGAUGGAAACUUCUCCCAAUGAAGAUGCUGUGGA